rnacentral:misc_RNA from 1 species
GAUGAAGAACGUAGCGAAAUGCGAUAAGUAAUGUGAAUUGCAGAAUUCAGUGAAUCAUCGAAUCUUUGAACGCACAUUACGCCCCCUGGUAUUCCGGGGGCAUGCCUGUCCGAGCGUCAUUACAACCCUCAAGCUCAGCUUGGUGUUGGGCCCCGCCGCCCCGGCGGGCCCUAAAGUCAGUGGCGGUGCCGUCCGGCUCCGAGCGUAGUAAUUCUUCUCGCUCUGGAGGUCCGGUCGUGUGCUCGCCAGCAACCCCCAAUUUUUUUCAGGUUGACCUCGGAUCAGGUAGGGAUACCCGCUGAACUUAAGCAUAUCAAUAAGCGGAGGA